GGGGGAGCCUAUACUGCAGUCGAGCGAGCUUGCCUAGAUGAUUUUAGUGCUUGCACUAAAUGAAACUAGAUACAAGCGAGCGGCGGACGGGUGAGUAACACGUGGGUAACCUGCCCAAGAGACUGGGAUAACACCUGGAAACAGAUGCUAAUACCGGAUAACAACACUAGACGCAUGUCUAGAGUUUGAAAGAUGGUUCUGCUAUCACUCUUGGAUGGACCUGCGGUGCAUUAGCUAGUUGGUAAGGUAACGGCUUACCAAGGCAAUGAUGCAUAGCCGAGUUGAGAGACUGAUCGGCCACAUUGGGACUGAGACACGGCCCAAACUCCUACGGGAGGCAGCAGUAGGGAAUCUUCCACAAUGGACGAAAGUCUGAUGGAGCAACGCCGCGUGAGUGAAGAAGGGUUUCGGCUCGUAAAGCUCUGUUGGUAGUGAAGAAAGAUAGAGGUAGUAACUGGCCUUUAUUUGACGGUAAUUACUUAGAAAGUCACGGCUAACUACGUGCCAGCAGCCGCGGUAAUACGUAGGUGGCAAGCGUUGUCCGGAUUUAUUGGGCGUAAAGCGAGUGCAGGCGGUUCAAUAAGUCUGAUGUGAAAGCCUUCGGCUCAACCGGAGAAUUGCAUCAGAAACUGUUGAACUUGAGUGCAGAAGAGGAGAGUGGAACUCCAUGUGUAGCGGUGGAAUGCGUAGAUAUAUGGAAGAACACCAGUGGCGAAGGCGGCUCUCUGGUCUGCAACUGACGCUGAGGCUCGAAAGCAUGGGUAGCGAACAGGAUUAGAUACCCUGGUAGUCCAUGCCGUAAACGAUGAGUGCUAAGUGUUGGGAGGUUUCCGCCUCUCAGUGCUGCAGC
rnacentral:rRNA from 1 species